UACAUCAUGUGAUGAAAUUUGGAAAAAUCUUAGGACACCUUCCUACACAGCAAAUUACUGCUGUGGAUGAGAAUGCAUUUUCCAUGCUGAUGAUGUA